GGGGGGGGGGGGGGGGGGGGGAGGCAGAGAGAGGCUCAGAGGUAUAUAAUCAGUCAUGAUGUAUCUAUCGUAUGUAGAGGCUGUAAAACAGAUUAGUGGAACUACAGUGCAGAAUGAUGGCACUUCCAUGGCCGCUACUGUACUAAGUGGACCUAAUGUCGGGUUGGUUCUACUGGAUCUGGCAUGGUUUCGAGACCUGUUCAGAAAUCUUGUGCUCAUAAAUGUGCUGUGUCAAAGGACACUUUGAUAGUGAAUACAUUCAACUUCAUAAGGUUAUCAACACGACUCAGGUUGUGGAAAGCAGAAAUGCCAAGUUGAAGGUUAUUGUGGAUACGGCAAAAGUGUUAUUGGGGGUAACAUAUGUUACUGUUGAAAUGGUUGUAGACAUGCUGAAUAAUCUUAAGGGUGCAUUGUUUCAGCAUGAUAUAGAUCAAGUUAAAUGGGUUGUGGUGGCCUGGCAGUUUUUUUGGGGGGUAGAAGUUAGUAGGGAUUUAUUGUUUUAUUUAAUUUGCUUGGUAGUACAGAAUUAGGCAUACCAUGAUGGAUCGCAUUCUCCAGCACAGUAGAUAGCGACAUAUGCACGUUAAACUUUUGUUUGCGGACCGCCAUGAUAUUAUAGAAGAAGAAGAAUACGAUGUCAAACUCCACUACCGCAGAGGGCAUCACAAACGAUGCACUACACAGAGGGGCAUGCGCUUCUGUGUUUAUCUUCUGCAGAAGUACAGGCUAGUUUCGUAUGGAGGAAAAUAAACAAUAAAAAUGUCUAAAAUAGAGUUGUUGAGAGUUUCUCAACCAGAAAUUAACAGCGGCUGCUGAGGAGAUAUUUGGGGUCGUUGAAACGAUAGCAGAGUACCAGGUAGACGUUUUUCGUAUGAAAGAGGACAACAAACGUCUUCGUGGGCUGUUGAUGUUGCAUAGAGGAGUGUCAGACUGCCAUCGGCAGGCUGAAGCUACUAUCACUUUGGUGCAGGUUGCCCCAGAGCAGCAGCAGUUAUGUACUCAAGAGUGGGGCCUCCAUGUAAGACAGGAGGACCCAGAGCCCACAGUGUCACUAUGUAAAGAGGAAGACGAUACCCACUGGAUCAGUGAGGUUGAAGAGCACAUUCAAAGGCUGGAGUCUGAUCCCAAAGACCCAGACCAAGUAUCCACUUCUGAAGAUUUCACAUUCCAAAUGGAGACAAGGGUCAGUAAACGCAGCCAACAAACUGAAAGUUAUCCUCAACGACAACAGAAUAGAGAAAGCGAUUCUGCCCUCUCAACCUGACUCACUGAAUGAGCUGAUAUCAACGCUCAAGGAGAAACUGCAUCUGAAGUUUGAUUUCAGUCUUCUUUAUGAAGACCCUGAUGUAAACAAUGAGCUCUUCAACUUAGAGACCAUUGAAGACUUGCCUUCUCCUAGGGCUACGGGAAAGUUUUGCGAAUACGACGUGAUACAGACCUCGGUUUAACCGGACUCUCAGCCACCGAGUUACAGGCCGCCCCACCAGAGCGGCUAGGCAGGUGGCCUGAGGUAUUUGUCAUACCCACUUUCUCGAUGGAAGUUGAGUUUGCUCUGAGAGAGCGCUAUUGUGCAUAUCUGAGACAUGAAACGGUGCUGAAAAUAACAAGGGAUCAAAAAC
rnacentral:lncRNA from 13 species